rnacentral:rRNA from 1 species
UACGAAGGGGGGCUAGCGUUGCUCGGAAUCACUGGGCGUAAAGGGUGCGUAGGCGGGUCUUUAAGUCAGGGGUGAAAUCCUGGAGCUCAACUCCAGAACUGCCUUUGAUACUGGGAAGCUCGAGUCCGGAAGAGGUGAGUGGAACUCCGAGUGUAGAGGUGAAAUUCGUAGAUAUUCGGAAGAACACCAGUGGCGAAGGCGGCUCACUGGUCCGGUACUGACGCUGAGGUGCGAAAGCGUGGGGAGCAACAGG